UGCUCGCAUGAUAUAAUUGAU
rnacentral:piRNA from 1 species